rnacentral:rRNA from 1 species
GCGAACGCUGGCGGCAGGCCUAACACAUGCAAGUCGAACGAACCUUUCGGGGUUAGUGGCGGACGGGUGAGUAACACGUGGGAACGUGCCUUUAGGUUCGGAAUAACUCAGGGAAACUUGUGCUAAUACCGAAUGUGCCCUUCGGGGGAAAGAUUAAUCGCCUUUAGAGCGGCCCGCGUCUGAUUAGCUAGUUGGUUGAGGUAAUGGCUCACCAAGGCGACGAUCAGUAGCUGGUCUGAGAGGAUGAUCAGCCACAUUGGGACUGAGACACGGCCCAAACUCCUACGGGAGGCAGCAGUGGGGAAUCUUGCGCAAUGGGCGAAAGCCUGACCCAGCCAUGCCGCGUGAAUGAUGAAGGUCUUAGGAUUGUAAAAUUCUUUCACCGGGGACGAUAAUGACGGUACCCGGAGAAGAAGCCCCGGCUAACUUCGUG